GUAGGUGGCAAGCGUUGUCCGGAAUUAUUGGGCGUAAAGCGCGCGCAGGCGGUCCUUUAAGUCUGAUGUGAAAGCCCACGGCUCAACCGUGGAGGGUCAUUGGAAACUGGGGGACUUGAGUACAGAAGAGGAAAGCGGAAUUCCAAGUGUAGCGGUGAAAUGCGUAGAGAUUUGGAGGAACACCAGUGGCGAAGGCGGCUUUCUGGUCUGUAACCGACGCUGAGGCGCGAAAGCGUGGGGAGCAAACAGGGAUUAGAUACCCUGGUAGUCCACGCCGUAAACGAUGAGUGCUAAGUGUUAGGGGGUUUCCCGCCCCUUAGUGCUGCAGCUAACGCAUUAAGCACUCCGCCUGGGGAUACGGCCGCAAGGCUG
rnacentral:rRNA from 1 species